AGAGCUGCGGUUGCAGGAGAUGCUGUCGAUGGGGAUGGGAAGCAAGCUCAGCUUGGACUGCCUGGGCACAGCCGAUGCCGUGCGUUGGCCACCCGCGGCCUGCGUCCCCACCGAGAAAGAAAAGAUAACCUCAGAGUGACGGGGACAGCCCAACGGACAUUACAAAUAAAAACGAAACGGGAUAGGCGGAGGUCAUGUUGGGGAUCCCGGAGCUGUGGACGAAUGUGCCGACGAUAUCCCAGGCUCGGAAAGGACGGACAGCGCCAGUGGUGAAGGUGACGGAUCCGACCCACCUUCCCCCCACCACCACCCCCAGCCCCUGGGAGAAAAGGACAUGCAAGAUCCCGAGCUCCCGGUGCCCUGUCCCACUUGCACACACUGCCACGCUCCCCAGUCAGCAGCAUCUCUGUCUCGGGCCCUGCUGCGGCGCUAAGAGAAGGAGCACCGUCUCUGACCAUCCUGCUUGGGCAGCCUGCAGCCUUCGGCACUCAAUCUCCAGUUUGGUCACGUCCUUUACCCAGCAACCGCGCCCCCCUCAACCUCCACAGGCCCAGGCCCAGGCCCAGGCCCUGUUCUUGACCGGAGCUGCUUUCCACACAUCUAACACUGCUGUCACCUGCUGAUGGGCCCCAUUCUCACCGAUCUAGCUUCUCUGGUUUACCACCUCAGUGACUGUGUUCCUCUCUCUCUCUGUCAGUCUCUUUCGCUCUAUCUCUCUCACUGUCUCUCUGUUUCCCUCAGUCUGUUUCUAUCUCUCUCUCUCUCUCUAUCUGUCUCGCACUCCCUCCCUCUCUCUGUCUCUCUGUCAGUCUCUCUCACUGUCUCUGUCUCUCUAUCAGUCUCUCUCACUCUCUCUUCUCUCUAUCUGUCUCUCUCACUGUAUCUCUCUCUGUCUCUGUUUCCCUCAGUCUAUUUCUAUCUAUCUCUGUCUCGCUCUCCUUCUCUCUCCCUCUGUCAGUCUCUCUCACUUUCUCUGUCUGUCUCUCUCACUGUAUCUCUCUCUGUCUCACUGUUUCCCUCAGUCUAUUUCGAUAUAUCUCUGUCUCGGUCUCCCUCUUUCUCUCUCUCUGGGUUCUGUCUCCACCUAUCAACUCAUGAUGGGAGUCAUCCAGACAAAGAGGUGAGGGAGAGGUCCACCGAACUCACUCACUCACUCACUCGCACUCACACACUCACUCGCACUCACACACUCACUCGCACUCACUCACUCACUCACUCACGCACCGGCUCACCGACUCAUGCCCUCUCUCACCCGCUCAAUCACUCGUUCACAAACCGACUCCUCACCCCAGCCACUGAGUCCGUCACUCACCCACUCUCACGUCUCGGUUCAUGGACGGCCUGCCUGUCGAGUGGUACCAAGGCUGCCAGGGAGCAAGGCGAAGCGGUCACAGUUAGGAUCGAUCUUCCAGCUCGGCGCUGGCAGGAGAGAGCGGGGGGUGUGGGGGGACCAUGGUGAGGAUUGCUACUCUCAACAGGCUCCCAUUCGAAGAGGCGAGAGACGUGUCUCACAGACGAACCCUGUAAAUUAAGUAAACAUUGUGGAAAUAA